UGCCAGCUUGGAUUGGUUGCAGUAACAGCUAAAUUUGCUCCUCCUGGUUUUCUUGUAGAAGGUGAAUGCAAGAACCUGCUAAGAAAACCAAUGGCCAAGGUGAUUGAUUAGUGUAGGACCUGAGAGAACCCCCUGAAAUGACAACCUGGAGUAGUUUCCAGGAUUAGAUUGCAAAGAUGGCCUUUGCUGCAUCUCCUUGAGCAAGGAAAGCCAAGAAACCUUUGCUUUUGCAGGAGAAAAUGGGGAAAGCGGGAAGGAAGCAAAGAAGCCCCGUGACUCCUCCCUGAGCCCCAGACAGCCCAGGAACUGCCUCCCUGGGAAUGGUGGGACGGGCUGGACUCUGGAUUGCUCCCUCUGGAUGUGUGUGGGAUGUAGCCUGGAAACUGCCCAGAUCUGAGCCAAGGGAUUGAAAGGGACCAAGCAAGGGAGGUGAAGAAACAAGGAAGAAGGGAACUAAGGCAUCAGCCAAGCAGCACCAAGUUCCUGUGUAAGCAGGGACACUGAGCUGGUCCAGCUGUGGCAAGAAGAGCCCUGAUGCCUGAGUGCUCUCCAGCCCCCAGGAUGGAUCCCAACUGUCAGCCCAUGGCUCCAUCCCUUGAGAAGAUGGUGUUCCUGCAAGCCCAGCUGCUGUGCUGGUGCUCCUGUGGGCACCUCCUGCCCUGGCCUGCUGAGAAUGUGUUGGUGUUGCAGCUCAAUA